CCCUGCUCCAAAGACUGCAGCAUUACAGCCUG
rnacentral:piRNA from 1 species